rnacentral:rRNA from 1 species
UAGGGAAUCUUCGGCAAUGGACGAAAGUCUGACCGAGCAACGCCGCGUGAGUGAAGAAGGUUUUCGGAUCGUAAAACUCUGUUGAUAGAGAAGAACAAGGGUGAGAGUAACUGUUCACCCCUUGACGGUAUCUAACCAGAAAGCCACGGCUAACUACGUGCCAG